GAUGAACGCUAGCUACAGGCUUAACACAUGCAAGUCGAGGGAACGGCGCACGGGUGAGUAACACGUAUCCAACCUGCCCUUUACUCGGGGAUAGCCUUUCGAAAGAAAGAUUAAUACCCGAUAUAAAGGAUGGGGAUGCGUUCAAUUCGGUUGUUGGUGAGGUAACGGCCCACCAAGCCUUCGAUGGAUAGUGGUUCUGAGAGGAAUGUCCCCCACAUGGGAACUUGGACACGUUCCAAACUCCUACGGGAGGCAGCAGUGAUGAAUAUUGUUCAAUGGGCGUUAGCCUGAACCAUCCAAGUAGCGUGAAGGAUGAAGGCUUAUGGGUCGUAAACUUCUUUUAUAUAAGAAUAUGUAUUAUAUGAAUAAGGAUCGGCUAACUCCGUGCCAGCAGCCGCGGUAAUUC
rnacentral:rRNA from 1 species